UUGCAUUGCUGUCAAUGUGGGUGUGUUGACACUGCAUUUUCAAAGAACUGCUUUAGUGGCCACGCAUUGUUUAUGUCACAAUGAGCCCAUGGUGGAGGGAUCUGGAAUGGAACAUUCCGAGAUGGGGCCUGCACAUACAUUAGGCAAAGAGGCACGCACUGAGGUCCUCUGGGUGCCAGUAGCCACAGGAAACACUCCGAGGAUAUGCAAAGGUCAUGGGAAUGGUGGCCCAGGUGAUGAUAGAGCAAAAGGGAGCAGAGAAAGUGGACACCCCUAGAAGUGUUCCUAUAAAGUUUCAAGUGUUUGCAAGAACUCUAAGCACCAGGAAUAAGGCACAAGAUGGGAAUCAGAGACACCACGGUAGAAUUCAGAGACACACAUAGCCAUCACAUCCU
rnacentral:lncRNA from 1 species